UGGAAACCCGAGCCGUAUCGCUAUCUCUCUCUCUCUCUUCCUAAAAUUGGCGAAACCCUAGCCGCCGCCGCCGCCCCUCCUCCUCCCUCCUCCGUGCUUCGCCGCCGCCGGAGCUCGUCACCGGCAAAGCCGGGCGACGCACUAGGAUGGCGGCGGCGGGGCCAUCCUCCUCGGCUCUAUCUCGCCCCGGCGCGGGCGUGGCAACGAUGGCGGCGGGACGACGAGGUCGUGACGAUGGGGACGGCGCGGCGGUGGGGCGCUCCAAGGUGUCGGUGGCGUGGCGGUGGGGCUCUCUGCGGCUCCAGCGACGGGCGACGGCGUCGCCAGAUCUGGUCUCCCCGCUUGGCCGGGGUGACCGGCGACGCUCGGUCGACGCCGGCGCCGCUCCGCGGACCUGGCAGGGGGGUGGCUAGCGGCGGCGAUGGUGGCGGAUGUGGCGGCGACGUAGUUGGCGAUGACGGCGGCGGACUGCGGCGCAACCUCGCCGCCACGAGGGAGGCGCGGCGCCCUCUUCAUUGCUCCGGUUGUGAACGCCAUGCCCGUGACGCCUUCCUCCAUGAUGCCGGCGACCCGUGCUUCGCGCUGCACCUCCGGUCCGCGAAACCCGGCUGGAUCUGGACGGCUGGCGUCUGGCGGCGCUGGCUAGCGACGGUGGCGGCUGGACGGGGGUGGUCGUGGCGGUGGCAGUGGUGGCUGUGGCAGUGGCGGUGGCGGCUGUCGACGAUGGUACCUAUGGUGGCGAUGGUUGAAGGCCAUCAUCCGGCUGACGGUGCGUCGUCGUCGGCGGCGGUAUGUGGAGGUGGGGAAGGCGUCUGGCGGCGGGGAAGGAGUCCGGGUGCGGGCGCGCCGUCG
rnacentral:lncRNA from 1 species